rnacentral:lncRNA from 1 species
AGAGAGCAAUCUUCUUUGGAUGGUAAGAAUUUAUUCUUGGGCUGGAAGCUGGGAAAGUACUGGAUUCUCCCUCCAUUCCCUUUCUGAUCCCAGAAGUCUUUGGACCACAGUCCCCUGUCAAUUGGUAACACCCAAGAAACAGCAGAUAGAAAAAGCAGUCACCACACAAGCCACCACACCAUGAGCAAGCACAGGACAUUGAGGCUCUCUGGACCAGCCACAGCUGAGCUCAGCAGGACCACACGGUUCUCAGGAGAGUCCUGCAAACCAGCACCAACAUCUCUGGCCCAGAGCCACAUCUGGCCUUCCCACAUGUAUCGUUGGCUGACCAAAAAGCUGACAGCCGGAGAAGGGAAAAGAACAAGAGGAGGCCUGGUUAGGAUGUGCUAUUCUA